rfam:Triticum aestivum genome assembly, contig: Triticum_aestivum_CS42_TGACv1_scaffold_288497_4AL
CAUGUACUCCCUCCGUUUGGAUUUACUUGUCACAGAAAUGGAUGUAUCUAGACAUAUUUUAGUUCUAGAUACAUCCAUUUUCGAGACAAGUAAUUUCGAACGGAGGGAGUAUUUA